CAUUAGGCAGCGCUCUGCUCCCAACCAGGGCCUCAUGCCAGACACACCACCUCACACACACCCCUCACACACACAUACACACACACCUCACACACACCCCUCACACACAUCUCACACACAUCUCACACACACACACCCCUCACACACAUCUCACACAGACACACACACACACACACACACACACCCCUCACACACCACCUCACACACACCCCUCACACACAUCUCACACACCCCUCACACACAUCUCACACACACACACACACACCCCUCACACACAACUUACACACACACACACACACACACACACAGACACCCCUCACACACACACACACACCCCUCAUACACAUCUCACACAGACACACACACAUACACCCCUCACACACACACACACAUCUCACACACACACACACAUCUCACACACACACACACACCCCUCACACACAUCUCACACACACACACCUCACACACAUCUCACACACACACACACACCCCUCACACACAUCUCACACAGACACACACACACACCCCUCACACACACCCCUCACACACAUCUCACACACACACACCUCACACACAUCUCUCACACACACACACACACCCCUCACACACAUCUCACACUGACACACAUACACCCCUCACACACCCCUCACACACACACACAACUCACAGUCACACCUCAGACACACACACACACCCUUCACACACAUCUCACAUUCACACCUCACACACACACACAACUCACAGUCACACCUCAGACACACACACACACCCUUCACACACAUCUCACAUUCACACCUCACACACAUCUCACACACACACACCUCACAUUCACACAUCUCACACACCUCACACACACACCCCUCACACACAUCUCACACACAAACACCUCACACUUAACACUUCACACACAUCUCACACACACCCCCACACAUCUCACACACACACCCCUCACACACAUCUCACACACAAACACAAUACCCCUCACACAUAUCUCACACACAUCACAUACACACACACACCAACUCACACAUACCCCUCACACACACACCCCUCACACACACCCUUUACACACAUCUCACACACACACAAAGACAGACACACACCUCACGCACACACCUCACACACAUCUCACACACACACACCACCUCACACACACCUCAUAUACAUGUCACUCAGCCAGUGGACAGUAGUAAGC
rnacentral:lncRNA from 1 species